UCCUGGCUCAGGAUGAACGCUGGCGGCGUGCCUAACACAUGCAAGUCGAACGGAGCUAUAACGCUGCAGAGAUUCGGUCGAAGCUUGUGUAGCUUAGUGGCGGACGGGUGAGUAACGCGUGGAUAACCUGCCCCAUACAGGGGGGUAGCAGACGGAAACGACUGAUAAAACCGCAUAAGCGCACACUGUGGCAUCACAGAGUGUGAAAAUCUACGGAGGUAUGGGAUGGAUCCGCGUCCGAUUAGUUAGUUGCGGGGUAGCGGCCCACCAAGACGACGAUCGGUAGCCGGCCUGAGAGGGCGGACGGCCACAUUGGGACUGAGACACGGCCCAGACUCCUACGGGAGGCAGCAGUGGGGGAUAUUGCACAAUGGAGGGAACUCUGAUGCCAGCGACGCCGCGUGGGUGAAGAAGUAUUUCGGUAUGUAAAGCCCUAUCAGCAGGGAAGAAGCAAGACGGUACCUGAGUAAGAAGCCCCGGCUAACUACGUGCCAGCCGCAGC
rnacentral:rRNA from 1 species